AGACCCGAAACCCGGUGAUCUAGCCAUGGGCAGGUUGAAGGUUGGGUAACACUAACUGGAGGACCGAACCGACUAAUGUUGAAAAAUUAGCGGAUGACCUGUGGCUGGGGGUGAAAGGCCAAUCAAACCGGGAGAUAGCUGGUUCUCCCCGAAAGCUAUUUAGGUAGCGCCUCGUGAAUUCAUCUCCGGGGGUAGAGCACUGUUUCGGCUAGGGGGCCAUCCCGGCUUACCAACCCGAUGCAAACUGCGAAUACCGGAGAAUGUUAUCACGGGAGACACACGGCGGGUGCUAACGUCCGUCGUGAAGAGGGAAACAACCCAGACCGCCAGCUAAGGUCCCAAAGUCAUGGUUAAGUGGGAAACGAUGUGGGAAGGCCCAGACAGCCAGGAUGUUGGCUUAGAAGCAGCCAUCAUUUAAAGAAAGCGUAAUAGCUCACUGGUCGAGUCGGCCUGCGCGGAAGAUGUAACGGGGCUAAACCAUGCACCGAAGCUGCGGCAGCGACACUGUGUGUUGUUGGGUAGGGGAGCGUUCUGUAAGCCUGCGAAGGUGGCCUGUGAGGGUUGCUGGAGGUAUCAGAAGUGCGAAUGCUGACAUAAGUAACGAUAAAGCGGGUGAAAAGCCCGCUCGCCGGAAGACCAAGGGUUCCUGUCCAACGUUAAUCGGGGCAGGGUGAGUCGACCCCUAAGGCGAGGCCGAAAGGCGUAGUCGAUGGGAAACGGGUUAAUAUUCCCGUACUUGGUGUUACUGCGAAGGGGGGACGGAGAAGGCUAUGUUGGCCGGGCGACGGUUGUCCCGGUUUAAGC
rnacentral:rRNA from 1 species